AAAAUAAAUAAAUAUUCAAGGAAGACAACUGAUGGUUGAAUCCUGAAAGUCUAAAAUCUCUAGAUCACAUAUCUAGCAUCUGAUACUUACAUCCCUAGUAAAAUAUAAUUUUAAAAUUUCCUAGAAUACGAAAAGAGCCCUAUAUAGCUACAAGAGAUAUGUAUGAGGUGACAAGCUCUUACACAUGUAUAUAUGUAUGAGGUGGUCAGGAGUGAAUCCCUUUUCUGAUCUCUUUCUUUCAUCCAUUGUUCUCUGUCUCGCUUGAUCCAGUCAUGUUCCAGCACUCCUCACAAAAGUAUCACUUCCAGACUCCUAGUAUGGGCCGAAAGGAGGAGUUUUAUUUUUUCUGAUUAUACAUGCAACAGGGAAUAAUUAAAAACAAUAACAAAUUAAAUGAUCAUGUGGUGAACCGGCUUCUUCUCCACUGCAUUUGCUGAUGACAUAGGAAGUCACUGCAAUAUGGUAUUAUGAAAUUAUUUUUCAUGAAAAAAUGAUGAUACACUUUCAUCUAACCAACUUGAAUACUCACUUUCCUCAAGAAAACAAUCUGAAUAGUCUUGUGCAUGGCAUGAUCCAAAUUCAGACGACACACUUCCUUAUAUGCUAUCUAUUAAUGAACGAACGGGUACUUACAUGUAUAUGAGGCCAGAACCGGGC
rnacentral:lncRNA from 1 species